rnacentral:rRNA from 1 species
GACGAACGCUGGCGGCGUGCUUAACACAUGCAAGUCGAACGGAAAGGCCCUGCUUUUGUGGGGUGCUCGAGUGGCGAGCGGGUGAGUAACACGUGAGUAACCUGCCCUUGACUUUGGGAUAACUUCAGGAAACUGGGGCUAAUACCGGAUAGGAGCUCCUGCUGCAUGGUGGGGGUUGGAAAGUUUCGGCGGUUGGGGAUGGACUCGCGGCUUAUCAGCUUGUUGGUGGGGUAGUGGCUUACCAAGGCUUUGACGGGUAGCCGGCCUGAGAGGGUGACCGGCCACAUUGGGACUGAGAUACGGCCCAGACUCCUACGGGAGGCAGCAGUGGGGAAUAUUGCACAAUGGGCGGAAGCCUGAUGCAGCAACGCCGCGUGCGGGAUGACGGCCUUCGGGUUGUAAACCGCUUUCGCCUGUGACGAAGCGUGAGUGACGGUAAUGGGUAAAGAAGCACCGGCUAACUACGUGCCAGCAGCCGCGGUGAUACGUAGGGUGCGAGCGUUGUCCGGAUUUAUUGGGCGUAAAGGGCUCGUAGGUGGUUGAUCGCGUCGGAAGUGUAAUCUUGGGGCUUAACCCUGAGCGUGCUUUCGAUACGGGUUGACUUGAGGAAGGUAGGGGAGAAUGGAAUUCCUGGUGGAGCGGUGGAAUGCGCAGAUAUCAGGAGGAACACCAGUGGCGAAGGCGGUUCUCUGGGCCUUUCCUGACGCUGAGGAGCGAAAGCGUGGGGAGCGAACAGGCUUAGAUACCCUGGUAGUCCACGCUGUAAACGGUGGGUACUAGGUGUGGGGUCCAUUCCACGGGUUCCGUGCCGUAGCUAACGCUUUAAGUACCCCGCCUGGGGAGUACGGCCGCAAGGCUAAAACUCAAAGGAAUUGACGGGGCCCCGCACAAGCGGCGGAGCAUGCAGAUUAAUUCGAUGCAACGCGUAGAACCUUACCUGGGUUUGACAUGGAUCGGGAGUGCUCAGAGAUGGGUGUGCCUCUUUUGGGGUCGGUUCACAGGUGGUGCAUGGCUGUCGUCAGCUCGUGUCGUGAGAUGUUGGGUUAAGUCCCGCAACGAGCGCAACCCUUGUUCACUGUUGCCAGCACGUUAUGGUGGGGACUCAGUGGAGACCGCCGGGGUCAACUCGGAGGAAGGUGGGGAUGACGUCAAGUCAUCAUGCCCCUUAUGUCCAGGGCUUCACGCAUGCUACAAUGGCUGGUACAGAGAGUGGCGAGCCUGUGAGGGUGAGCGAAUCUCGGAAAGCCGGUCUCAGUUCGGAUUGGGGUCUGCAACUCGACCUCAUGAAGUCGGAGUCGCUAGUAAUCGCAGAUCAGCAACGCUGCGGUGAAUACGUUCCCGGG